GGAAGAAAGCCUAAGGACAUUAACCUAGAAAAAAUCCUAACAAUCCCAUUAAACAAAAGGUCUACCAUUAGGUCACUUGCCUGGCAACUGGGAUGUAGCCCUACCACACUUCAUAGAAAGUUCAUGUUAAACUUGAUAAGGAGGCAUACAAACUGUGUGAAGCCAGCUUUAAAGGACCAGAAUAAGAAGGAUAGGAUGAAAUUUUGUUUGUCGAUGCUUGAUGAGGCAACAACUACAACACCAAGGCCUAAGUUCAAGACUAUGCAUAAUGUUAUCCAUAUCGACGAGAAGUGGUUUAACAUGACC
rnacentral:rRNA from 1 species